rnacentral:rRNA from 1 species
CAAUAGCGUAUAUUAAAGUUGUUGCAGUUAAAAAGCUCGUAGUUGGAUUUCGGGGCAGCCUGGCUGGUCCGCCGCAAGGCGAGUACUGGUCAGCCGCCCUUCCUCUCGAAAGCCCCGACUGCUCUUUAUUGCGGUGGUCGGGUAGUUCGGGACGUUUACUUUGAAAAAAUUAGAGUGUUCAAGGCAGGCCUACGCCUGAAUACAUUAGCAUGGAAUAAUGGAAGAGGACCUCGGUCCUAUUUUGUUGGUUUCCAGGACCGAAGUAAUGAUUAAGAGGGACAGUUGGGGGCAUUCGUAUUUAAUUGUCAGAGGUGAAAUUCUCGGAUUUAUGAAAGACGAACAACUGCGAAAGCAUUUGCCAAGGAUGUUUUCAUUAA